rnacentral:rRNA from 1 species
AAAAGUACUUUGAAGAGAGAGUUCAAGAGGACGUGAAACCGGUAGGAUGGAAACGGAUAGAGCCAAUGAACAAGCCCGUAUUCAGCUAGUCGGCUGCGUGCGGCUCGGCUUUCCGCCUCUGUAUGGGGGUGGUGGUUGGGUGCGGCAUGCGGUUGGCUAGUGCAUUUGCGGGUGAUGUGCGCUGAGGCGUGUGAUCGAGUCCUGCGAACCAACAUUAGAGGACCAAGCUUCGGCUCGGAAACCUGGUGGCGUSUAGCAGUGGUCAUGGUUGCACGUAGAUGAAACGGCUAGGCGAUUGCGCGCUGCCGUGUUAUGGAGGUUAGCACACUGGUCGGUCGCGUGCGACUUGGCCUUUGUGUYGGUCCCCGUAGCGCGGUAGCGCUCUAGCCGAUCCUCGGUGUAAAAGUUGGUCAUCUCUCCGACCCGUCUUGAAACACGGACCAAGGAGUCUAGCGUAUACGCGAGUCAUUGGGUGGUAAACUCAUAGGCGUAAUGAAAGUGAAGGUUCAGCAAUGGACUGAUAUGCGAUCCGUUGGGCUUCGGCCUACGCGGAGCAGCAUAGCCCCGUCUCAACUGCAUGCAGUAGGGCGGAGGCAGAGCGUACGCGCUGGUACCCGAAAGAUGGUGAACUAUGCCUGAGCAGGAUGAAGCCAGAGGAAACUCUGGUGGAGGUCCGAAGCGCUUCUGACGUGCAAAUCGAUCGUCUGACUUGGGUAUAGGGGCGAAAGACUAAUCGAACCAUCUA